rnacentral:rRNA from 1 species
AGUAACACGUGGAUAACCUACCUAUAAGACUGGGAUAACUUCGGGAAACCGGAGCUAAUACCAGAUAAUAUUUUGAACCGCAUGGUUCAAAAGUGAAAGACGGUCUUGCUGUCACUUAUAGAUGGAUCCGCGCUGCAUUAGCUAGUUGGUAAGGUAACGGCUUACCAAGGCAACGAUGCAUAGCCGACCUGAGAGGGUGAUCGGCCACACUGGAACUGAGACACGGUCCAG